GACGAACCGUGCGAGCGUUGUUCGGAAUCACUGGGCUUAAAGGGCGCGUAGGCGGGCUCACAAGUCAGGGGUGAAAGCCCACGGCUCAACCGUGGAAGUGCCUUUGAUACUGUGGGCCUCGAGGGAGGUAGGGGCGUGCGGAACUUCCGGUGGAGCGGUGAAAUGCGUAGAUAUCGGAAGGAACACCGGUGGCGAAAGCGGCGCGCUGGACCUCUACUGACGCUGAGGCGCGAAAGCCAGGGGAGCAAACGGG
rnacentral:rRNA from 1 species